AUUGAACGCUGGCGGCAGGCCUCACACAUGCAAGUCGAACGAGUGGCGGACGGGUGAGUAAUGUCUGGGAAACUGCCCGAUGGAGGGGGAUAACUACUGGAAAAGGUAGCUAAUACCGCCUACCAUCGUAUGUGCCCAGAUGGGAUUAGCGAGUAGGUGGGGUAACGGCCCACCUAGGCUACGAUCCCUAGCUGGUCUGAGAUGAUGACCAGCGCCACUGGACAUGAGACACGGUCCAGAAUCCUACGGGAGGCAGCAUUGGGGAAUAUUGCACAAUGGACGCAAGCCUGAUGGAGCCAUGCCGCGGGUAUGAAGAAGGCCUUCGGGUUGUAAAGUACUUUCAGCGAGGAAGCGUUACUCGAAGAAGAAGCACCGGCUAACUCCGUGCCAGCAGCCGCGGUAAUUC
rnacentral:rRNA from 1 species